rnacentral:rRNA from 1 species
UGGGGAAUAUUGCACAAUGGGGGAAACCCUGAUGCAGCGACGCCGCGUGAGCGAAGAAGUAUUUCGGUAUGUAAAGCUCUAUCAGCAGGGAAGAUAAUGACGGUACCGUACAAGAAAGCCACGGCUAACUACGUGCCAGCAGCCGCGGUAAAACGUAGGUGGCAAGCGUUGUCCGGAAUUACUGGGUGUAAAGGGAGCGUAGGCGGGAGUGCAAGUUGAAUGUGAAAUCUAUCGGCUCAACCGGUAGUUGCGUUCAAAACUGUUUUUCUUGAGUGAAGUAGAGGCAGGCGGAAUUCCUAGUGUAGCGGUGAAAUGCGUAGAUAUUAGGAGGAACACCAGUGGCGAAGGCGGCCUGCUGGGCUUUUACUGACGCUGAGGCUCGAAAGCAUGGGUAGCAAACAGGAUUAGAUACC